rnacentral:rRNA from 1 species
GACGAACGCUGGCGGCGUGCCUAAUACAUGCAAGUCGUGCGGACCUUUUAAAAGCUUGCUUUUAAAAGGUUAGCGGCGGACGGGUGAGUAACACGUGGGCAACCUGCCUGUAAGACUGGGAUAACGCCGGGAAACCGGGGCUAAUACCAGAUCGUUUUUUCCUCCGCAUGGAGGAAAAGGGAAAGGCGGCUUCGGCUGCCACUUACAAAUGGGCCCGCGGCGCAUUAGCUAGUUGGCGGGGUAACGGCCCACCAAGGCAACGAUGCGUAGCCGACCUGAGAGGGUGAUCGGCCACAUUGGGACUGAGACACGGCCCAAACUCCUACGGGAGGCAGCAGUAGGGAAUCUUCCGCAAUGGACGAAAGUCUGACGGAGCAACGCCGCGUGAGGGAAGAAGGCCUUCGGGUCGUAAAACUCUGUUGCCGGGGAAGAACAAGUGCCGUUCGAACAGGGCGGCGCCUUGACGGUACCCGGACAGAAAGCCACGGCUAACUACGUG